CUUUGUUAGCUACUUAUCUUAUAAGUGAAGCGUGUCUUCAGAAAGAUUCUGGAUGAUUUAAUUAUAUCUCUGCUCUUCCGAGAGAACCGUACUCGCUUUUAUACUGGACUCGGACAUAACUUGAUAUGUACUUGGAAGCUUCACAGAUUCGAUAACGGACAAUCGAAAGAAUCACUAAUGUUGUUGGAACGUGAGAUAUUGUAUUCUCUUUCCUUCUCUCAACUGCUAUUUGAUGUGUAGAACUUUACUUGAUGCACUCUCUCGCAUUUGUCCUUAGUGUGUGGGUGUGGUUAAAGACUGAUGGUUAUGUCCUGCAUCAGACACGGCUGAAAUUUUGAAGUUUCAAGAUGCACAAAUAUGUACGAGAUUACUGGUGAUCCGGUUCAUCCCCCAAACAACCAUUGAUGAAGUCAUCGACAAUGCUCCCGUCAUCAACCUCCAAACAUUCAUACUACGGAGGUUUGACCAGCUCCAAGCUCUAAGAAACAUUGACUUAGAACUCCCUGGUUUGUUCCCCAUACAUUGGUAAUUUAUUGUUCAAAUUAUUGUAUAUGAUUUGGUGCUGAAAUCUUAAGCCUUUCAUCACAUGGCAGAUGUUGUUGGGCAAAUUCAUGUUCAGUCCAAGGUUCUGACCUUAAGGACGCUGAAGCUAUGCCCCGAGUUGUGGUCCGUUUCAUUAUUGAACCGACGGUGGUUGUGUACCUGUGUUUAUGGGAUGAUGCUGCAGAAAUGUUUAAGGGUCUCAUCAAUCAGGUGAUAGAACCCAGUCUGUCAUGGUGGUCAGUGGUCACUACCGUCAAUCCCAAAAUAUUUGGAGGUUUGUUAUAUCGGUAAACUUGUAUACCAUAUUGAGGAAGGUUUUGUCAAUUCAUAUAUUUUCGUAAUUAAUAUUGCGUACAACCCAUAAUCUACCAAACACUCUUUAUUCCGCAGGUAACCUGUACAUCAACUCCACCCCAGCAGCGAAGUUUUAUUUUGACACUAACCUCCCAGCCAUUGCAGAGUUCACAGCCAGGUAACAACUCAUUAGGUCUCGCUGUUGACCAAAAUGAAAUCGUACACUAACUUAUCUGAUGAUACCAUUUGCUUCCAGGUUAGGAAGUCCAGUUUGAGAAGCUUUCCCCUGUAUCGAUACCAAGGAUGGGAUAAAAAGAAGGAACUUGUCUCAAUAAGAGAUCUAAACAAAUUCAUUUCCAAUUCUGAUGAGCAGACACAGGAAGCGGAUUUCAUUUGCAAGGCUCGGGUUGUUGAGGUCCUGCAACAAAAUGGCUGGUCUUUUUUCUCUUGCACUGGAUGCAGCAGGAAGCUAGACAAAUCUGGCAGUCAAGACUUUUGAUACUCAAAGAUAUAUAAGAUAAGCCAUUGUUUUAAUCAUUAUGAUCACGGGGGUGUUUGCGGCCACUUAGCAAUCUUUUCCUAUUUUACAGACUUAGCAAUUUUUUUUCUAUUUCCAGUUUUUGUUUUUUGUUUUGCCAUUUACGGCAAAGUAACUACUCAUAGGAGAACAUUUGCUAAAUUUAAUAUUAUAAAAAAAGUGUUGACGUAAUAUUUAGUAUAGUCGAUAACAAAAUGCACAAAAGGUCAUUCAUAUAGUGAACCAUAUUACAGGUAAACAUGCAAAAUUGAGCUACACGAUGCCUUUGUGUUCACUCUCUUCUAUGCAUACAUUCAGUCAGGCCGAAGGCUGGACGGAUAAAAUUUUGAAAUUCAACACAGAAAAUAGUCAGAGAAAAAAAUAACAAGAAAACCUCAUAAAUUUUUUGACACAGACUAGCACUAACUUUCUUUUUUUGUCAAACAGGCUAGCACUAACUAACAUAAGUUUUACCAACUGAAAUCCAACUACACGAACUCAAUUUAAAUUCGGUAUUAAUUGAAACGUA